rnacentral:lncRNA from 1 species
GCCCAGGAUGAAGACUGGGCAGUAGCCUGGGAAGAACCGGGCUUCGGUAACCACAGGGGCCCCAGGCGGCCCGGGAAGCGUGGAGGUCCCAGCGUGCGGGCAGAAAGCCCAAGAGGCCGAGCGCUGUGGCAGCUCCAUGGGGCCCUGGCGGAGGCAAGGGCACAGCGUGGCUGGCUGCAUAUGUGAACAAGGUGAGCGGCGGGGCCGCGGUCGUCGCGGAGUCUGAGCACACCAAGGAGCGCAUCAGACUUCAAGGGUCGAAGUGCAAAGGGGCAGUUUUUGAUUUCGGGGUCAACCAACUAGGACUCGAUGGGUGGAAAAGAAGUGCCUAAACAGCAAGCUGCUUACCUCAAUCUCGGUCAGAAUUUGUGGGGGCCCCAUAGAUGUGGGUGCCUGGCGGGGUCCUGGUGCGGACAGCGGUCUCGGGUUUGCGCACUGCGCACAGUAUCCUCAUCACGACACGAUGGAAGCUGCGGAGCUGGGGUCAAAAUAAGAAGGCGCAGCUGGGACCUGGUGACACCAAGAGAAUGGAAGCCCCCAGACUCAUUGCGGGUCUCUGCCGGGAAGUGAGUAUGUAGGCAGCCUGUGGGCGGAACCUCACCUUGGCCUUGACGGAAACGGGCUCUGCGUUUGCCUUUGGGGAGAACAAGAUGGGGCAGCUGAGCCUCAGCAACCACGCAGGAGCAUCCCCAGCACCGCACAGAUCAUGGACAACGGGCAGCCAAUUACUAGAAUGGCCAGUGGAAAUGAAUUCCGUAUAAUGGGCGACAAAGGAGACCUCUGUUCCUUCGUGUGCCCUCAAUGUGGUCAGCUGGGACCCAGGCACAGUGAAUAGUUAAGGCUGUGAGCUGGUGCUGGUGCCACGAUGAGUGGCCCACCUUCACUGAGAAUGAAAGAUGGGUAGAUUCUGCCUGUACCAAAGGUGGUUGUGGGGUCAAGAACCCACCAGCCAAUAACGGUUGUGUAAGACGUGACCUGUAAUGCUAACCACACAUUGAUUCUGGACUCCAAGAAAUGAGUCUUCUCCUGGGGCUUUGGUGGCUAUGGUUGACUGGGCCACUCAGAGCAGAAGGAUGAGAUGGUCCCCGCUUGGUGAGGUUGGAGUCUGACUUCCUUGGGUGUGGGGCAUCCCAGAUCCAUGUUGGUUACACCUGGUCCUUUGCUGUCUGUGAAGUUGGUAGUCUCUUUUUCUGGGGGAGCCCAAUAUCUCCCAUGAAUCUUCCAUGUACCUGAAAGCAGUGCAGGACCUCUGCGGCUGCAGAAUCCAGAGCCUGGCUUGUGGGAAGAGCAGCAACAUUGUGGCCGCCAAUGAGAACACCAUCAGCUGAGGGCCAUAACCAACCUUUAGGUAAUUGGGAUACAGGGACCAUGAGCCCAAGUCUUCCACUGCAGCCCAAGAGGUGAAGACUCUGAAUGGCAUCUUUUCAAAGCAGGUCUCCAUAGGCUACUCACACUCCUUGGUGAUAGUGCGAGAUGAAAGUGAGACCAGGAAAGAGAAGAUCAAGAAAUGCUAGAAUACAACCCCUGAACCCUUUGA